rnacentral:rRNA from 1 species
GAAGGAUCAUUAUUGUAUAACACGAGACAUUGAGGCUGUCGCUGACGAAAGUCGUGCACGCCUUGGUGUUCUUACAUCCAUUUCACCCUUGUGCAUCAUCGCGUGGGCCGUUCCCAUUGGGAAUGGUCUACGUUUUUAAUACAAACCCCUAUUGAUGUGUAGAAUGUGUACUUUGCGAUAACAACGCAACUAAUACAACUUUCAACAACGGAUCUCUUGGCUCUCGCAUCGAUGAAGAACGCAGCGAAAUGCGAUACGUAAUGUGAAUUGCAGAAUUCAGUGAAUCAUCGAAUCUUUGAACGCCCCCUUGCCCCCCCUUGGUAUUCCGAGGGGCACGCCCGUUUGAGUGUCGUGAAAUUCCCCAACCCCUCUUGGUUUUCUUUUGAAGGCUAAGAGGGCUUGGACUUGGAGGUUCUUGCUGGCAGCACUUUGCGAUCAGCUCUCUCUUAAAUGCAUUAGCGAGGUUCUCUUUGCUGACCUUUGGCGUGAUAAGUAUCUACGUCUUUGGUGUGGCUCUGCUGUUAGAAUCUGCUUCUAAUCGUCUCUUUGCUGAGACAACUUGAGUCC